GACGAACGCUGGCGGCGUGCUUAACACAUGCAAGUCGAACGGAAAGGCCCUGCUUUUGUGGGGUGCUCGAGUGGCGAACGGGUGAGUAACACGUGAGUAACCUGCCCUUGACUUUGGGAUAACUUCAGGAAACUGGGGCUAUUACGGGUUAGGAGCCCCUGCUGCAUGGGGGGGGUGGGAAGGUUUCGGCGGUUGGGGAUGGACUCGCGGCUUAUCAGCUUGUUGGUGGGGUAGUGGCUUACCAAGGCUUUGACGGGUAGCCGGCCUGAGAGGGUGACCGGCCACAUUGGGACUGAGAUACGGCCCAGACUCCUACGGGAGGCAGCAGUGGGGAAUAUUGCACAAUGGGCGGAAGCCUGAUGCAGCAACGCCGCGUGCGGGAUGACGGCCUUCGGGUUGUAAACCGCUUUCGCCUGUGACGAAGCGUGAGUGACGGUAAUGGGUAAAGAAGCACCGGCUAACUACGUG
rnacentral:rRNA from 1 species